rnacentral:miRNA from 1 species
CACCUCAUCAGUCGGAAGGGAUUUCUACCAAUUCAUGAGGUGAAAAGACCUCAUCAACUGGAAGGGAUUCCUUCCAAUCAAUGAGUUAUUUGCACCUCAUUGACCAGAGGGAAUCCCUUCUGGUUGAUGAGGUCUUUUCACCUCAUUGAUUGGAAGAAAUCCCUUCCAAUUGAUGAGGUU